GCGGACAUAGCUCAGUUGGGAGAGCGUCAGACUGAAGCGGAUCCCGAUCCGAGAAACUUCAUUCAAUCAAUCUGAAGGUCGUGUGUUCAAUCCACACUGGCCGCA
rnacentral:tRNA from 1 species